ensembl:lncRNA
CAGUUUGAGGUCAGUGAUGACACCAGGUCAUUUGGGCUCUGCAUAGCAAAGCUUAAAUGUGGAAAUACUUCCAAUAUCCUUGCACGAGGAAACCCCAGAAGAUUCAUGAUAAAUGUAUUUCCUUGUGCUUCACAGUUUACCACAGAGUAUGGAGGGGAGGAAACGUGAAGACACAGAUCUUUCUUCUUCUGCUCUUAAUGAGAAUCUGUUCACUUUGAUGAGCAUCAAAUCUCUCUCUGUUAAUUGCUGUUGAUAGAAGUGCAGAUUAAUCAAUAUUUCUAUACAUCAAGGCCUGUACCAGGCACAUCUGGAGAACCAAAAUAAGAGGAAAAGUCUCAGUACUGCCAGAGCCUAAGGCACAGAGUUUGCACAGUUGCAAGUGUUCCCUUCAUUGCAGAGUUAUUAAAAUGUCAUCUCACAGUCAUUAUAUCCUUACCUUAUAUCUUAAAACCCAUUUUAAAAAAUGCAUUCCUGGAGCUGGAUAUUUGCAGGAAGGGUGAGGACAAAGCACACCAUUUCUUUCAGCCUUCCUUGGAGCCUGUUCAGGCCAUUGUGUGGAGCUUUUCGCCUGACUGGUUUCCUGUAGCAGAACAUUCCAUGCAGGAUUCAUUUCUCCAGGUGAUUUGCAUACCUCCUGCUUGGAAGGGCCACAUCAGACCAGGAAGGGGCCGGGGCGAGUCCAUGGACUGCCUGCUGAGUUUCUUUGUAUUUGGAAUUCCCUCCAAACGGCAGCGGCAUUCUGUGGAGCAGCAGGAGUUGAUUCAGGGAUGCACCUGCUGAAGGAAGUCAACAAACCCAUUCUGAGCCCUUCUGGAGAGAUGACACCGUCGAGCUGCACAGAGCUGAUUCUAUUGUGACAUCUAAAAGAAACCAGAAAUCUCCUACUGGCCACUGAGGGCCAAAAAAAUCUCUGGUUUCAUGAGGGAGGCAGAACUAGCCACAAAUAACAUUAUCUUCCAUGUGGGAUCUGAUAAACAGAAAUUAAAAUCUAGCAGGUGGCAC